UGGUGAAGUCGUAACAAGGUAGCCGUACGGGAACGUGCGGCUGGAUCACCUCCUUAAAAAGGAAUAAUAAAUGGUCAAUAAAGACUUAAUUACUAGACAAGUAAUAAGAGGGCUAUUAGCUCAGUUGGUUAGAGCGCGCCCCUGAGGGGGGGGAGGUCCCUGGUUCAAAUCCAGGAUGGCCCAGCUGGGGGUAUAGCUCAGUUGGUAGAGCGUU
rnacentral:misc_RNA from 1 species